rnacentral:lncRNA from 1 species
UUUACAACAAGAUUUAUUGAAUAUUUUAAACCCACUGUUGAGACCUACUGCUCAGAAAAAAUAUAUCUUUCAAAAUACUACUGCUCAUUGACAAUGUUACUGAUCAACCAAGAGCUCUGAUCAGGAAAAAAUAUAUCUUUCAAAAUAUUACUGCUCAGAAAAAUAUUACUGCUCUAAAGAUAAAGCAAGUUCUUUUUUCACUACAAUAUGCGCGAAAGGACCAAUAAUACCUAAUUGGGCAGGCUGGCAGACUGCUGUUCAAAGACAGAUGAAUUACAGCAGCUAUCAUUUUGUCCCUUUUAGGUUACCUUACGAGUUUUCUUCUUUAUGGAUGCCCAGAACGGGCCUUUCAGAAUGUGCCUAGAUGAGAAAUUCAUUUCUAGUCAUUAUCACCACAGCUUUAGCUAGGAAACCAGCUCUGUUCCAAAUCAGGACGAAGUAAAAGCAUAGGUUUUCUAUAGGCAAAUGCAAUUUUUGACUGGCUGUCCUCAGAAGCCAUUGCUCCUGGUUGCCGCGUCUUUGCUGAUGGAAAGUCAAGCCAGGCCACAUUAUUAGGUAGCUCAGUAGCAGUUAAUUAUUAACUCCAGUGGAGAGUGGUUCAUGAGAUUACUGUAUAUGCUGUUACAACAUGAUUAACUCUCUGCUCAUCAAUUCAAUUUUUUUCGGAAGUGUUGCUGCAAAUAUGGCAUAAAUUUCCUGGGCACAGCAUUCAGUUCCACCUUAUUAUGCAGCACGGCUUCAAAGAUAUGAGGUUCCAUGUCUAAUCUUAAUUUAAUUUUAGAAGUUAGCUCUCUGGCUUGCUACAAGCUGCAUUCCAUUUCUGAUGUUAUCCACAAUUCUGAGACCGACUAGAAAUACCUGUGUGGAUUGUGGUAGAAAAGGAUAACCCUGGAUCUGGAAUAAAAGUGUAGCCUCAGAAAUUUCCUGGCAUUGGAUCACAAGGUCAGGAAAUCGAGACCAUCCUGGCUAACACAGUGAAACCCCGUCUCUACUAAAAAAUACAAAAAAUUAGCCAGGCAUAGCGGCGGGCGCCUGUAGUCCCAGCUACUUGGGAAGCUGAGGCAGGAGAAUGGCGUGAACCCAGGAGGCGGAGCUUGCAGUGAGCCGAGAUCGCGCCACUGCACUCCAGCCUGGGCAACAGAGCAAGACUCCGUCUCAGAAAAAAAAAAAAAAAAAAAAAAAUUCCUGGCAUUGUUGAGUCUGUGCUGCAACAAAGGCAGCUGGAUUCCACAGGACAGUUUACAUGUGGGUAUCAGCAUUUGUACAUCCUCAGAAUCUCCUAUGAAGAGCAUCACGCCAAUUGCUAACAUCUCGCAAUUCCCAGAACCAAGCCACUGGCCUUUCAGGAGAAAACUCUGUAUUCAGAGAAGUCCCUCUCUAUUAGAGGAAAUAAAUAAGUUGAUGCCUUUUUAAUCUGAGCAGAUGCAUAGAAUUUCCUAUGGGGGAUUCUCACAAGGAUGUUUGUACUUGAAUGUUUUUCUGCAAGAGAGAAGAAAGAGCCUGGUGUCCUCCUGGAUCAAAAGUAGGGGCUUUUCAUUAAUUCGUGAUGAACAGCUAUGUAUCAAAUCUAUAUCCACUUAAAGAGGUGGAAAUUACUCUCUUGGUUUAUUGGACCAGACAAGGACUGUGGGUCUCAUUGGUUCUUAACAGAGCCUCAACAAAGCCAUAAUUACAGAAAUUCUUCCAGGACCAUGGACAUUAUUUAGGCUUUCUGUUACCUAGAAUCCACACCAGGAAAAUUAUGUGCAAACGCAAAUCAGACAUUUUCCUGGGAUUUAUUUGUCGAGUGUUGCUUGGAAAGAAUUCCCACAGCAUAAAAAUUAUGCUUGGAGAAAAGAAUGGAAGAAUCAAAGUGAACCAUGCUGCUUUUUGCAGGAACAAAGCAAUAUAAAAAAUAAAGCCUGCGAAGAACUAUUUUCCUCCCCACUGCUACUCUCUUAUCAAGGCAUCUUCUUUCCAUUUGUUGACCAGCCUCAAUGUCCAACGGCUUCUUGGACCAAUACUGCCACGCUUUCUACCUCUACAGAAUUUGAAAAUAUGCUGAAGCUAACAAACAAGGAGUCUUUAUAUAAGUACCAAAAGUCUUUAUAUAGGUACAUAUUUGUGAGCGUGUGCGUGAAUGUGUGCACACAUACACACGUGGGAGCAAUGAAGGUUACCUCAUGUAACCCUGUUAAGUGAAAACAACAUUAAGCACCUCAAAUUCAAGCUGCUAAUUUGUUCCUCCAUCAUUUGGGGAAAACUUUGCAAAAUUAUCCAAUUGCUCAUCUGGAAAAAGAAACAUUCAAAAAGAGGCAAGAAAAGGAUUUAAAAGAAUGAAGGAGAACUUACUCUACUCAACUUUAAAACUUAUUAUAAAGGUGCAAUAAAUCAAACAGUGUGAUGGCAGCACUAGGCUAUACCAAUGGAGCAUAAUGAAAGCAUACACCAAAAAAUUACAUAUAGUUUCUGCCUUGAGAGAGAGCACUCAUAUGUAUAUGUGUGUGUGUGUGUGUGUGUGUGUGUCAUAGUUUAUGAUAAUGUUGAAAUUGUGUGAUAGAGUAGAAAGAGUAUGAACUUCAGAAUCAGAUAAAUUCAAACCUGGAUUUGAAUUCCAGUCCAUGCACUCUUGAGCAAGUUAAUACUCUUACUGAAUAUUAAUUACCUAAAAUGGAAUGGGGAUGGUGAUAUGUAUCUUUAAGAUGUGAGGAUUUGAGAAUCAAAUGAUAUCCUACAUGUAUUAGUCAAGGUUUUUAGUUACAAGUGGCAGAGACAUACUCUGGCUAAUCUGGGCAGAUGAGGAAUUUAUUCAAGGCUCUUGUGUUGCUUACAAAAUUUCUGAGAAGGGCAGAGAAACAGUCUUGGGAAAAGGGAAGAACAAGGAAGGCUAGACAGCAACCAGGACCACAGGAAUUCAUGCCCCCAAAGAGCAUGUGAGGACUGCUAGCCCUACCACUGAAUCCUGGGUGUCACUGCUGGCAUGGCCACAUAUGCUCCAAGACAGCAGUUGUUGCUGGAUCACUCAUCAGAAUGGCAUUGGCUUGGUCCACCCUCUUUGAAUCAAUAGAUCCAGUUGUAAAUUCCAGAGAGGGUCUGUUGAUUGGUUGCUCCUAACCUAAGUGCAGAGGAGUCUAGGAAAAUAAGUUCUUGGCAUUUUCAAGUUUUAUAGUGAAGGCAAGCUCUCCUUCCCUAGCAAGAUUCAUAAGGUAGACAAUUUAUCAAAUGCAGGAAGGAAUUUCAGAUUCUGCGUCACCUAGAAAAGGCACAAAUCCAUUACAAAACAUAUCAAAGCACCUGAUACAUAACAGAUAUUCAGGAAAUGGUGACAAUUGAUAUUUUCACAAAUCAGUGGGGGAAAGGAACAAUUCAUUAUUCAACAAAUGGUGCUGGGACCAUUUGUUAUUUGGAACAAAAAAAAAUCUAAAAUUCACCAAAAUAAACUCCAAUUGGAUCAAAGAUUAAAAAGAGAUUUUUUAAUCAAAGAUUUAAAUCUGUAAAAAAUAAUUUGACCCACUGUGCCCAUCAAUUCAGCCUCCAGAUCCACCUGGAAAGGAUGUUAAUUUAAGCUCAGUGGGUUUUCUAAUGGUGCCUCUUCCAGUUCUGGCAAGACAGGAGAGUCCUACAGCCCAUCACUUAGAACAGAUUCACAUGCCCCACUCUUAAUUUUGCAUCUGACCUCCAGUUGAAACACUUCUCUUUUAUUUACUGAAAAUAAAAUGUUAAAACAGUUUCUCACAUGCUUAAUUUCUACAAGUCUUUCUUUGGGUCAUUCAACCAGCGUUGUGGAUAAUGUUACCAGGAGUGCUUGGUGGCUUGGAUUCUAUGUCUCCACUAAACUAUAGGUUUCAAAGGCAAGGGGCUUGUUUUACGUAUCUUUUUUUUUCUAUUAUGCCUGGUACAAUGCUUUCAAUAUAGGAGGUGCUCAAUCCAUGAUUAAGGAAGAAAACGGAAUUGCUGGUUAGCUGUUUCAAAAUGUCUGGUAAUGGUUUCAGCUUUGAGCACUAACUCAGAUAAAGCACUAACAUCUCUGAUCCUCAAUUUCCUUUUCUUUAGAACAAGAACACUUACAUUACCCUUACUCCCCCAAAACUUCACAUAACAAAUAUUGAUCAUUUUGGGCUUGAUGAAACAAUUCAUAGGUGACAGCUCUUAAGAUCAUAGAUGGACAGCUUUCCAGAAGGUAUACUACUCUUUCUCUUCUCUUAUCUAUAAUCUUUACUGUUCUCAGUUUCCAUCUGCCACUCUUAUGUCCAGUUCUGAAAAGCUAGUCAAGGAUGAGUGGCGCUGGCCAAAAAUUUUCCUUUUCUAGCUAUGUUUCUUGGCGGUUACAUUUUUCCUCUUGAUUUAUUGCUUUUCACUAUUGUUAGAAUAGAUAUGUGAUCUGAAACAUCAAUUUCCUCCUGACUUAGGUGCAUCUUGCUUUCUUUUUUACCGUCUAAAAGAUCUUAAUAUUAUUUAUUUAAAGUUGAGAGAGCACUUUGUGUCUCUUGGAUGCAAAUAACUGAGUGUGUAUAUUAUUAUUGUCUCUAUUGCCCAAAAGGAAAAACUUCAUUUCUUAUAGAUACAGUAUUUUUAUUUUUAAAUGUUUAGAGAGAAAAAAAAAAACCAUUAGCCAUGAUAUAUCCCUAAAUAACACAUGAGUAAGGGUUCACCGUGUCUGAAAAAUUCUACUCAGCUCCAGAUUUGAGAAAAGACCAUUUGUCUGGCCUCUCUGAUUCAUCCCUGAGAAUGAAAAGGACCAAAAGUCUGUUCCCUUUGGUACAAACUCUCUUUCAUAUUUUAUUUUCUAAUGCACAGCUAAUUUCUAAAUUAAGACCAUGCUUACAAGAAAGGUUAGGAAGUUAUUCACUUCAAUCCAUUAGUAAGUCUGUUUUUGAUUGAACUUUUAAAUAACUUUUGAUAAUUAGUACAUCUUGUCUUUUGGAUUUCAAAUAAGAUAAAAUAAUCAGUUUUCUUUUUUAUUUAAAAUUAUGCCAGAUUUAGCCCAGUCAAAAGAUUCCAGAAUUUCUCCCAGCAAGACAAACACUUUGGAGAAUUUUUUAAUUCCCCACAUGCGUGCUGUCCAUAUACUCCCAUUACCAAACUUUAAGUGAUCAAAGUGUUGAACUAUAUCUGUGAUUAGGUCAGCGGUCAGCAAACUUUUCCUCUAAUAAGGCAGAGGGUAAAUAUUUCCAGCUUUGCAGCCAUUUGGUCUCUGUCCCAACACCUCAACUCUGCCAUAAUCAUGCAAAAGCAGCCAUUGAUAAUACAUAAGUGAUCGAGUGUGGCUGUGUUCCAAUAAAACUUUAUUUAUAAACACUGAAAUUUGAAUUUCAUAUAAUUUUUACAUGACAUGGUAUACUAUUCUUCUUUUGCCUUUUAAGGUAUAAAUGCCAUAGUUCGUGGGUCAUAUAAAAAUAGGCAGUGGGCCAGAUUUAGCUGGGGUGACAGUUUGCUGACCCCUGCUCUAGGUGAACUGGGGAUGGGCUUCUUGAAAAGUUUUCACUAAAUAGCAUAUAACAUUUAUUUCAGAAAAACUUAUUUGUGCUUUUUCUCUGCUCUCACACCACAAAAACCAAUCAACACAGAAGACUUCUGUGACCAAAUGUGUGGGUUUUUUUCCCCACCACCAAGCAGUGGCCACCAGCUGGGUGUCCUCCAAGUCAACUCUGACACUACCUGGAAAUAGCUUCAGAUUCCACAAAUUGAAGGCUCAGUCACUAAAACUGGCCCCCACCUUUCAGACACCAGUCGAACUUCUGACCCACUGGCUUCAGCUUGGGGCUCCCAUGACCCCUUCUUAGAUGAAUUUGUUGGAGGGGCUCACAGAACUCAGGGAAACACGUUUACCAAUAUACUAUAAAGGAUAUUACAAAGGAUACAGAUGAAGAGGUGCACAGGACAGGCAUGAGGGAAGUGGGCGGAGCUUCC